UGGUUUGGGCAGGGUCUUCCCCUCUGUUAAUUCUUCCCGCUUGACUUCUCUGCUCUUAGGGAGCCCUGGGCUGCAGUAGCCAGUGGGGCUGUGUUCCCCCUCCCUAGCAGGCCUAGGGGGGGUCUGGGGCAGGGGUCUCCCUUGGGGAGUGGCGUCUGCCAGCUGCUGUGCAGGGAGGCUCUCCUGCUCAUACCCUCUUCUGGGCACAGGGAAAAGCUUGGUCCUUCUUCUGGAGGGCCCUGGAAACCGUAUCCCAUAGGGCCGGGAAGGGCCUGGGCUUUGGGGUCCGCUCCGGGACCCCCAAAUGGCUCUGUCAGUUACUUCAGUUGGUCUCAGUGACACUGAGGAAGUCACUCAGUGUGUGAGUUGGUUUCUUCUUCUGUAAAAUAAGCAGACUCUUCAGUCUGAAGGAUUGAAUGAGAGCCUGGCAUACCUGCCUGGAGCCCUGAGGGCACAUAGAAGGUACCAGAUAACCGUUAUAGCGCCUCCUUUUCCCCUUCUACUUCCAGAAACCAUGGUGAGAGAUUUUAGACACGAGUUUUCCAUGACUUCAAAGUAGUAACUAGUAAAAUGGACCUGCAAGAGGCCUGCCGAGGCCAGCUGUGCUCUCGUGGGUGGUUACGUAGCCAACAUGGUCCAGGGUUUCUUGGAACAAUAAAUAUCCUGUCCGUAGGUCUGUGAGCUCUGGGUGUUCCAUCCUGACUUGAUACCCCUCCCAAAGGACCCUAAAAAGCAGGGAGGUGUGCAGGAUGAACCCCUCAGCCCCCUCACUGUAGAGACAGAGAAACAAGGGCAUGUAGAGGCGACAAGUUUGGGUCAGCAUCCCCUGGGGGGCCAGGAUCCCUAAGUUGGCCCCCUCUCAUGAGCAUCCGGCCACACCACGGGCACAGCUGGGCCGAGGCCCCACAUGUGUCACAUGAGAGGCUGGCUCUGAUGGCUUGUACGGCUGCUGUGUUGCUGGGGGAGAGGCAGCCACGACCUUGUGUUUAGGUCCCCACUGUGGGGCUUUCCUUCUAGAACUCCUGCGUCUGGUGAAGGAGAGGCCACAGACAAAUGCGACUGUGGCCCGGCGGCUGGUGGCCCGGGCCCUGGGACUCCAACACAAAAAGAAAGAGCGGCCUGCUGUCCGGGGUCCGCUGCCGCCCUGAGGCCUGGAGACCCAACUGGCCUGGAUCUGCGUCCCGACGUAGCUGGCGCCCCCAACACCAUAAGCCUUCAC
rnacentral:lncRNA from 1 species